AGGUUGGACAGCCGCGGCCGGAACCCGAAAGGGUCCGGGUGAGGAAAGUCCGGGCUUCACAGGGCAAGGAUAACGGGUAACGCCCGCCGGGGGUGACCCCAGGACAAGUGCAACAGAGAUAUACCGCCCUCCUCGGAGGGUAAGGGUGAAAAGGUGCGGUAAGAGCGCACCCUGCCCAUGGAGACAUGGGUUUUAAGAUGUAAACUCUAUCCGAAGCAACACCGUGUGUGGGACAUAAGGCUUGCCCGGCCGUCCCCAAGAGGUGGCUGGAUCCCGGGAGCAAUUCCGGGACUAGAUAGAUGGCUGUCAAAACAGAACCCGGCUUACAGACCUGAUCC
rnacentral:RNase_P_RNA from 1 species